UCCCUGGUGGUCCAGUGGUUAGGACUCCACGCCUCCAAUGCAAGUGGGGGUAGGUUCAAUCCCUGCUCGGGGAA